rnacentral:sRNA from 1 species
ACAAACAUGGCGGAACCGGUUGAGGGGAGGUUGCUUGAAUUCUCUCAGCUGCGCCCCCUGACCUAAUAGUCGCUGGCACAAGCUGCGCCCGGAGACGUGGGAGCGUUCUCUUGUUUUCCGAGUGCGCAGACUCAUCGAGUCACAGUUUAUGCUUUUGUGACGCGGGAACACAACAGAUUUGAGAAGCCUCGGAUUAAGGAAUAAUUUAUGAAGCCCUGUUGACUACCGUGGAGAGAUCAUAAUUUGGGGUUCAAGAUUCCAGUCUGUGUUUUUCCAGAGGUGCCCUGAGGAGCAGGGAAGCAUGGCUAUUGUGGAUGUAAAAGCCAUGUUCAAGGCUCUGUUAUUCUGCACUUACACAUUGCCAACUCUUCCUGAUGAGUUAUUAUAACUCUUUUAUCAUUAUGAGAAAAUUAUGUUUGAUAAUAUAGAGUAACUUGAAGUCUGUUUCAUCUGAUAUUAAUAUAGCCAUUCCAACAAAUUUUUUCUGCAAAUUAAAUGCCAAGAUUUAAAAGUUAUCUAA